CACAACACGCACUUACCUUAUCUGGUGUCCGACCUGGGGUCGUGUGCCUUGACCGGCACGUGGCCCUGCUUUGAACACACCACGAUAACACAGUCGCAAACCAAAAUCUAAAGUUUGGCUGUCAUUAAUCGGCAGUCUUAAUGAAAACAACUCUCAACAACGGAUAUCUUGGCUCUCGCAACGAUGAAGAACGCAGCGAAAUGCGAUACGUAGUGUGAAUUGCAGAAUUCCGUGAACCAUCGAAUCUUUGAACGCAUAUUGCGCUCGACCCCUCGGGGAAGAGCAUGUCUGCCUCAGCGUCGGUUUAAACCUCACCCCUCCCAGCUUUUGUUGGGUGUAAUUGGCUUGCUCAAGCCGAUUGUGGGGUGGAUCUGACCUCCCCAAGCUCUGCCUUGCACUGUUUGGGUUGGUUGAAGCACAGAGGCUUAAACUGGGACCCGACAUGGGCUCAACUGGAUAGGUAGCUCCACUCGCUCUCAUGGCGGGUGCCUACACGAAGUUGUGUCCGUGGACCUGGUUAGGAGCCAAGCAGGAAUCGGAUUUACCUCCGAAUCUAAG
rnacentral:rRNA from 1 species